ensembl:lncRNA LINC01837 long intergenic non-protein coding RNA 1837
AGAGACACCUUUCCUGGGAAGAGAGCUGACAACCUUCUGUGGUAAGGGGUGAACAUCCUUGGGAAGCCACAGAGAGCAAGGCGCAGUUUUUCAUUGAUCACCACUUUCAAGAUGCUCCCAGAAUCGUGCUGUCUAGGAAGCCAUUUAAACUGGUGAGAAGCCAUCCUCUCUUGAAUGGGGGCUCCCACUGUACAUCUGGCACCCACUUCACAGAUUCUGGGGGAUGUCAACACCAGCACUGCUGAGCUGUGUGACCUUGAGCAAGACAGUUAGCCUCUCUGAACCUCAGUGUCCUUCUCUGUAGGCUGGAGAUUGAUAUACCUUCAUUAUCGGGGUAUGAGAGUGUUAUAAGGUGGGAUGGUGGAACACGCUGACUGGUCUGGGCUAUUCAAGAUCCAUGAACUGGAAGAUGCUUUCUUAUAACUCAGAGAAAAGAGAUGAAAAUGAAUCAAAGAACAGGAAGGAGACAAGCUCAGGAGUGUGAAAACGGAUUAAUACGGAUUCCAUUAGCAGAAGCAGUUUUGGUGGGAAAAAGAUGAAGGGUGAAGAGGACUUUUACCUUAAAACAAUGAAGAGUCACCCUAAGAAGGAUGUGUGGAAGACUUGACUGGAGGAUCAAAAUGUGUCGGGGGAAGGUGUACAAGGAGGAGUAAGGACACAGAUGUCCUGACUUCACACAGUGGGGGAUUAGAAGCCACCAUCAAACACAGAUGAAACAGGAAUAAAAGUAGUAGUACAUUACUUAAGCUUUAAAAGGGUAAGACUCCUGGGAAUUUGGAAGCUGAGACUUGAGGAGCAGAGGCAUUUAGCUGUGUAAACACAGAGCUUCAGUGGCAGCACCCUAAAUGCUUAGCUGAUAGAUCCGGAAUUAAAUACAGACCUAGAAACUGGAGUUGGAAAACUUCCUGGCAGCACUCCUUCCCUGCCAUCCCGGUGAUCCCCUUCUGGAUGGAGGGUGUGGAGCUCAGCACAUUCACGUCUGCAGUUCUCAGAGAACCAAGUGUUAAGGAAUGUCAGGGAAGGAAGAAGGCAGCCAGCCAGGAAGGGGAGGUCCUGGCCUGAGCACGCCAGGCACAGAGGGAUAGAGGGUAGGGAGGAAACUGCACCUGUCUCCAACCCUCGACCCCAGCCCCGAAACACGACAUUGGCUGAAACAGAUUAAAAGCAUAAAAUGGCCCAAAGAAAUGGGAGAAGGUUGGCCUCUGGUCGGGCAAACAUGAGGGCAUGAAGAUAUAUAAUGUCCCACACGGGAGGAAACCCUUGCCGGGCCCCUCAGGAUUUAUAACAAGCUCACCUGAAGGAGAAACUUCAGGGGCACUUACACCAUCAGAUACCUAGAAAGGAGCUGUCAUUUCCUCACUGAAGAGUUUGCAAGCAGAUGGAAAAUGUGUGUCUGGAUCAUCUUGUGGCCCGAAUGGGGAGAAAAGAUGCAGUAUUCCAAAGCAGGAGAUUCACUGAAAAAGAUGUUUAAGAAGUUGCUGAUGAAGAAAAGUUCAGGAUUCACAGCUCCAUACAAAGGGAAUAGCCACUUUUCUCAUUUUGAGAUAUGACUACUAACAAGUAUUAUUCUGCAUCUUC